CUCAUUACUCUUAUAUUUUGGUUUAGGUUGCAUUUUGGUGAAAAAGAUGAAAUUCGGAAGAAACAAGUGAAAAAUGACCAAAGUAGAAGAGAACGAAAGUUCGAGGACUAAAGUGCAAAUGAUCCAAACUUGUGUCCAAGAUUAUGAUGAAGAUUCAAAAGUGUUAGAGGUCAAGUGGAUGAGGAACGAAGUCAAAGGGAUGAAAUAACAUCAAAGUUUGAUCAAUACAUCAAUUUCCAAUCGAAAACCAACACACUAGUUUUUAGUCUCAUGUUGGGACCCAUUUUUGACAUGGAAGAUGAUCGAAUUGGGAGAUGACUUCUGAAUAAAAAUUGUG
rnacentral:lncRNA from 1 species